rnacentral:rRNA from 1 species
UACGUAGGGUGCAAGCGUUGUCCGGAAUUAUUGGGCGUAAAGCGCGCGUAGGCGGUUACUUAAGUCGGAUGUGAAAGCCCUCGGCUUAACUGAGGAAGUGCACCCGAAACUGAGUAGCUGGAGUACGAAAGAGGGUCGCGGAAUUCCCGGUGUAGAGGUGAAAUUCGUAGAUAUCGGGAGGAACACCGGUGGCGAAGGCGGCGACCUGGGUCGAGACUGACGCUGAGGCGCGAAAGCGUGGGGAGCGAACGGG